rnacentral:rRNA from 1 species
CCUACGGGUGGCAGCAGUGAGGAAUAUUGGUCAAUGGUCGGGAGACUGAACCAGCCAAGCCGCGUGAGGGAUGAAGGUACAGAGUAUCGUACACCUCUUUUGUCAGGGAACAAAGGCUGUACGUGUCCCCUGCUUAGUUUACCUUCAGAAAAAGCAUCGGCUAACUCCGUUCCAGCAGCCGCGGUCAUACUGAGGAUGCGAUAGUUAUCCGGAUUUACUGGGUUAAAGGGGGGCGCAGGCGGUGUGUUCAGUCCGGGGUAAAAGCCCGGGGUUCAACCCCGGCCCGCCGUUGAAACUGGCAGUCUCGAGUUGGAGAGAAGUAUGCGGAAUGCGCGGUGUAGCGGUGAAAUGCAUAGAUAUCGCGCAGAACGCCGAUUGCGAAGGCAGCAGGCCGGCUCCACACUGACGCUGAGGCACGAAAGCGUGGGUAUCGAACAGGAUUAGAUACCCCUGUAGUC